GACGAACGCUGGCGGCGUGCUUAACACAUGCAAGUCGAGCGGUAAGGCCCUUUCGGGGGUACACGAGCGGCGAACGGGUGAGUAACACGUGGGUGACCUGCCUUUAGCUCUGGGAUAAGCCUGGGAAACUGGGUCUAAUACCGGAUAUGACUCCGCGGUGCAUGCUGUGGGUGGAAAGCCUUGUGCGGCUGGAGAUGGGCCCGCGGCCUAUCAGCUUGUUGGUGGGGUGAUGGCCUACCAAGGCGA
rnacentral:rRNA from 1 species